ensembl:lncRNA
CGCGCGCGGCGUCGCUCCGCCCUGGACGUGCGGCGCGAGGGCGGGCGGUGGCGGUUGGGCUCCGCCCUGCGGCCGGGCCUGGAGCUGUGGCCUGUUGGUGUCCCGACGGACGCUGCCGGGGCUUGAGCUGCUGUCUCUUUCUCCGGAGUGCGGCCUGGUGGCUGUGUGAGGCCUUUCUGGUUCUGCCCGGCGGCGGUACCGCGGAGGGAAAGUGCUCAGGGCGGCUUUUGCCUUGUCCUCGGUGGGUGCAGGCUUGGUGCAAUAGUCUGUAGGAGAGCAGCUCAUUGGCAGCGGUGGUGUUUCUCCCAUGGAGCCUUCUCUCAUCCUGCAGCCCUAGAGCUGUGAGGAGAGCAGCCCUGGGCAGUCCUGUGCUUCCAGAGCACCCCUUCCAACAGCAAAAUGCUCCUCCUGAAAGCUGCAUGCACGUUAAGUGUGUGUGCUCCCAUCGUGAGCGUGGAUGCAGUUGUGUGCGUUGGCUGAUGGAUGUAAAAGCAGCUUUGUGAUCUAGAAGGUGAGGUCCAUCUCAGCUGCUGGAGGUCCUUGGUCUGCCAUGGGUGGAAAACCGGGUUCAGUUCUGGGCUCCCCAGUUCCAAAAAGAUGAGGAUCUUCUGGAAAUGGUCCAGUGGAGGGUGACAAAAGAUGAUUAACGACCUGGAGCCUCUGCAGUGAGUCAAGUCAACGGGGACAGACUCUUCCCACUGGCAUGCAGCAACAGAACAAAGGGCAAUGGGCAGAAACUGGAACACAAGUACUAACACAAAGAAGAACUUCUGUACAGAGUGACAGAGCUGGAAGAAGCCGCCCAAAGAGGUGGAGUGGACCAGUUGCCUUCACUGGACGUAUUCAAGACCCAUCUGGAUGCCUCUCUGUGUGACCUACUUUAGGGAAGCUGCUUUAGUGGGGAGGGUGGACUUCAGGAUCUCUGGAUGUCAUUUCCAACCCCUACAAUUCUGUGCCCUGCUGAGCCUGCUUGGUGAUCAUGGGUGGAGCUGCAGCUUUGCAUGUGAGCUCUGUGCUGCUCCGUCUCUCCCAUUACCAGUCUUGACUGUGGGGUCUCUCACGGCAUAGAGCUGCAAGGAGUACAAUUACUGCCUCAUCCAUUUAAGUUGAUCAGCAGUUCAUCUGACUGGGAAUCAGUAAUAUGCUUAAGGAAUUGUCACAGCACAAAAAUAAAGGGGAAUUGAGGGAUCUGAACAUCCGACUCUUCUCUGGUGCUUCAGAAAUAUCCUGCAAAGCUCUUCCACUGACAUACCCUUUACACCAGAAGACUGAGCAUAGACUACAGCAAAAUAUACAUUGAGGAGGGGUGCAUUUUGACAAUGCAGCAAUGUCAGUUAUUGAGCACUACCAUAUCUUACAGCAGGAACAUUCCUAAUGUACUAAUUGUCAAAGU